GUAGGUGGCAAGCGUUGUCCGGAAUUAUUGGGCGUAAAGCGCGCGCAGGCGGUUCUUUAAGUCUGAUGUGAAAGCCCACGGCUCAACCGUGGAGGGUCAUUGGAAACUGGAGAACUUGAGUACAGAAGAGGAAAGCGGAAUUCCACGUGUAGCGGUGAAAUGCGUAGAGAUGUGGAGGAACACCAGUGGCGAAGGCGGCUUUCUGGUCUGUAACUGACGCUGAGGCGCGAAAGCGUGGGGAGCAAACAGGGAUUAGAUACCCUGGUAGUCCACGCCGUAAACGAUGAGUGCUAAGUGUUAGGGGGUUUCCGCCCCCUUAGUGCUGCAGCUAACGCAUUAAGCACUCGCCUGGGGAUACGGCGCAAGGCUG
rnacentral:rRNA from 1 species